CUGUUCCACGAUCUCGAAAGAAAAUUUGUGCGAACGAAGGCUACUCACUCACUUUCGUAUAAGAAUGCGUUCCACUAACUUUCGUUCUUUCUUUCGCAUAGCCUUACGUGAUUCAGUGUUGCUAAAUAUUUUUUUGGAAAAAUUAAUCGCGAAAUAAAGCAAACAAAGCGUAAAAUGUCUAAUUUAAACGCGAAAAAGCAGCAGUGGCUCUGUCUCAACUGACAUUUCAGUUGUAAACAAACAAAUUGUAAAUAAACAAACAAAAUAAAAUUUCUAGUGAUUGUGUUCAAACUAUUUGUGCUCUUAGAAAAUAAAAAAAAAGGGAACAACUCUAGUUUAGUAAAAACUCUUAGAUUUUUUCGAAAUUUUUUCCAGAGAGUUUUUACUAAACUAGAGUUAAGCCAAAAAAAGAAUAUUUCCGUAGCCCUAUUUUUUAUGGAGGAGGUUCGUAAUGUGCCACGGAGGCAUUUAAGAGAUGCUUCGAAUUUAUUUGAAGUACCUAACAACCAGUUUGUGGCCAACUUUCGUGUGUCGAAGAAAGUUUUCGGGCUCUUUUGGAUAUGAUGGAAGAGAAGUGGGUGCCUGGUUGCAGAACUACCCAAACCCGCCCCGAUUUAAAACUUCUUCUGCUGCUUCCAAAAAUUGGCAUUCCUCUGGCGAACACAGGAUUCUCCUCCAUUUACUCAACUAGUGCCCGCAGCUGUUUUUUUUUCGUGCUGGAAUUGAGAAAAUAAAAAAAUAUAUAUUGGUUAUUCACAUA